rnacentral:lncRNA from 1 species
UCGGGGGAUAAAGAAAAUAACAUUAAAAUUAGUGGUGAGCUUUUUUUACCAGUUUUAUAAUUGGUCGUGUAUAAUAAUUAGGAUAAAUAAAUAAUCUAUAAAAGAAAGACGAAAGAAAACUAGGCGAGAAACUUUACCUGCGUCGUCUAACAAGGAAUACCGACAUCGAGGUAAUGUUUUUUUUUGAUAAAAGUUAAAGUGACAUCGAGGUAAUGUUUUGAAUCUUCAAUGUCCUUAAUUAAUGAUAGGGGGUUAAAUAUUAUAUAAUAAUAUUUCAUGGUUAGAUAUGAAUUGAAAGUGGGUGUUAGCGGAUGUGAUGGGAGUUUGGAUUUUGAAUAAGAAAGUGAGGGUGAUAAUGAAUUAGUUGAUGGAUUAAUGAUUAGUCAAUCAUUGGCUGAUGAUAUGAUAAAUUUGGCUUAUAGUAUAUGAUAAAUUUGGGUCAGAGUUGUUGUCACUAGUUUUCAAAGCCAAUGGCUUUAAUCUUGAAUUUUAUUACGUUGUCAUCAUAUUAUAAAUUGAGUUUUAAUAUAUUGAGAUAUGUAAUUAAAUAUUAGGUGUAUUGUAUAAUUCGAAUAUCAUUAAAGUGAUGAUAAUUAAAGCAAUUGAGACUUAUCCUUAGGCUUGAACUUUAGGAAAGUGACUAUAGAUUGGGGUGAGUUUUUGGGUCUAGGCUAGACAUAUAGUAAUAUGGGUGUCUAUAGACUCAUUUACUUAUGAAUUAUGCAUGUUUAAUAGAUUGAAAACGUUCGAAGGCAUUGAAGAAAGGAAAAGUUUUGAAGAAUUAGCUUGCUCGACUUCGAUUCCUCGGUGGAGAUAGAUUAGGGUUUAUUCUAUGUGAUAGAUAGACUCUUAAUAGUGAUUGAUAAUCAUUGAGUGAUAUUGUGAAUUUCUUUAUGUACUUGGUUGUGUGGUUUGGACAAUCUAUGUGUUAUUUGUGAUUGGUCUGAAAUCCUGAGACCGUGAAAUUUAUAAUCUUGAACUUUCUCUAUCAAAGUGAUGCCUUGAAUAAAGUAGGCUUUAUGAAAUAUUGUUAAUGCAGUGAAAAGAGGUAAUAAUAAAUUAACGAUAUAUUUGGAUCGGGUGCCACGAGCCGGCACGAUGUUAUUGGAUCGGGUGUCACAUUCCGGCACGGCAACAUUAAAGGAAAACAUAUAUAAACAAUGUAAUGUACUUAAUCUCAAAGAACUCAAUUCCUAAAAUAGCUUAGUUUGGAGGCAUGAGUCCCCAUGUGUGCUCUUGAUAUUGUUGACUGAUUACGUACUUACUUUAGUGUUGUUGUCACUUGUUCAUGUUGGUUGUUGCUUGCCACCUACUAAGUGUCAUAGUUGAUUUUUAUACUAUUACUCGUUGCAUAUUAGUUUCUUUUCUCUUUUGUUUUUGAGAUUGAGUACAUUACGUUUUUUUUUUUUAGUACAUUACGUUGUUUAUAUGUUUUCCUUUAAUGUUGUCUUGCCGGAACGCGACACCCGAUCCAAUAACAUCGUGCCGGCUCGUGGCA